rnacentral:rRNA from 1 species
UUCCCCUNGUAGCUGCGAGCGAAGAGGGAUGAGCCCAGCGCCGAAUCCCCGUCUGUCCGGCGGACGUGGGACAUGUGGCGUAUAGAAGACAGCUUUGCCCAGUGUCGAUCGGGGGCCUGAGUCCUUCUGAUCGAGGCUCUGCCCGUGGACGGUGUGAGGCCGGUAACGGNCCUCGUCGCGCUGGGGUCCGGUCUUCUCGGAGUCGGGUUGCUUGUGAAUGCAGCCNAAAGCGGGUGGUAAACUCCAUCUAAGGCUAAAUACCGGCACGAGACCGAUAGUCAACAAGUACCG